rnacentral:misc_RNA from 1 species
UGGUUCUGGCAUCGAUGAAGAACGCAGCGAAAUGCGAUAAGUAAUGUGAAUUGCAGAAUUCAGUGAAUCAUCGAAUCUUUGAACGCACACUGCGCCCACCAGCAUUCUGGUGGGCAUGCCUGUUCGAGCGUCAUUUCAACCCUCAGGUUCAGGCCUGGUGUUGGACGGCCGGUCGAGCGAUCGACCCCUCCGAAAGACAAUGACGGCGGCCUGUGGUUCCCCCGGUACACUGAGCUUCUCACCGAGCACGUACCGGACGAGGGCACCCGGGACCCGGUCCUCUCCUUUCACUAGGAAACUUUUCAAGGUUGACCUCGGAUCAGGUAGGAAUACGCGCUGA